rnacentral:rRNA from 1 species
UCCCUGCCCUUUGUACACACCGCCCGUCGCUCCUACCGAUUGAAUGGUCCGGUGAAGUGUUCGGAUCGCGGCGACGGGGGCGGUUCGCCGCCCCCGACGUCGCGAGAAGUCCAUUGAACCUUAUCAUUUAGAGGAAGGAGAAGUCGUAACAAGGUUUCCGUAGGUGAACCUGCGGAAGGAUCAUUG